GAGGAAUAUUGGUCAAUGGACGCAAGUCUGAACCAGCCAAGUCGCGUGAAGGACGAAGGUAUUAUGUAUUGUAAACUUCUUUUGCAGGGGAAUAAAGUGAGGCUUGCGAGCCUUUUUGCAAGUACCCUGCGAAUAAGGAUCGGCUAACUCCGUGCCAGCAGCCGCGGUAAUACGGAGGAUCCGAGCGUUAUCCGGAUUUAUUGGGUUUAAAGGGUGCGUAGGCGGAGAUUUAAGUCAGUGGUGAAAGUUUAGGGCUCAACCUUAAAAUUGCCGUUGAAACUGGGUUUCUUGAGUACGGUAGAGGUAGGCGGAAUUUGUGGUGUAGCGGUGAAAUGCUUAGAUAUCACGAAGAACUCCGAUUGCGAAGGCAGCUUACCGGACCGUAACUGACGCUGAGGCACGAAAGUGUGGGGAUCAAAC
rnacentral:rRNA from 1 species